AAAGGAGGAAAAUGAUCAUAGAAAUGCCUAAUGGUUGUAAAAAAAAAAUUCAAACUACUGCAAAAACAACAGGUAAAGGCUUUUACUGACAUUAGUGUACAUUAGUGUAAACUUGGAAAUUUAUAAUGAAGGCUUGAAUAUAAUAGAAAAGAGCAUUAACGAUUUUAAAGUGAGAUUAAACUUUCAAGAGGGAUUAAUCGGCCAAAAAGAUGACUCUAACUUUUAAAACAAAGGGUUAUUUUGAAAUUACCCAGAUACAAAAUAAAAUAAGAGAUCGAUGACGAUUCAAAACAUAAUAAAUUAACAACUGAUGGACUUAAUGAAGAUGAAGGCUGGAAAAUACAGUUACGAGAAGAUAUUAAUUAAACCUUGGUCGAUUUUCUUUGAAAGAAUUCAUAUAAAUUACCUGAAAAUUCUUCUGUUACAAGUACGCCAGUUAAACUAAUUACUUUCAACACCACGCUUAUCUAACAAAAAUUUUAAUGACGAUUUCGACGUCAAAGACAUUGCAGCCUUAUUAAUAUCAUGCUUGUGCAAGAUAAUUUAUAGUUAAAAAUUAUAGUGAUAAAAAUAGUUUAAAUUUUUUAAAUAAUUUUUUUUUUUAAAUUAUUUUAAUUAAGUAUAUAUA
rnacentral:lncRNA from 1 species